rnacentral:tRNA from 1 species
GGCUCCGUAGCUCAGCUGGAUAGAGCAGCCGCCUUCUAAGCGGCAGGUCGCAGGUUCGAACCCUGCCGGAGUCGCCA